rnacentral:rRNA from 1 species
UACGUAGGGUGCAAGCGUUGUCCGGAAUUAUUGGGCGUAAAGAGCUCGUAGGCGGUCUGUCGCGUCGGCUGUGAAAACCCGGGGCUCAACCCCGGGCCUGCAGUCGAUACGGGCAGACUAGAGUGCGGUAGGGGAGACUGGAAUUCCUGGUGUAGCGGUGAAAUGCGCAGAUAUCAGGAGGAACACCGGUGGCGAAGGCGGGUCUCUGGGCCGUAACUGACGCUGAGGAGCGAAAGCUGGGGAGCAAACAGG